rnacentral:rRNA from 1 species
AAACUUACCAGGUCAAGACAUGGGCGUGAUUGACAGGCUAAUGACUUUUCUCGAUUCCAUGGAUGGUGGUGCAUGGUCGCACUUAGUUGGUGCAGUGAUUUGUCAGGUUUAUUCCGGUAACGAACGAGACCUCGGCCUUGUAAAUAGCUAUGCUGCUUACAGGGACAUUGGCGGCUACGCCAAGGAAGCUCGAGGCAAUUGCAGAUCUGGAAUGCCCUUAGAUGUCCUGGGUCGCACGCGUGCUACAAUGACGCCACGAACGAGCUUGCGUGAUGAAAGUUACGCAUAAUCAGCAGUCGGCGUCUUAAGGGAUAGUCUCUUGUAACUGUGGGACUCCAACUAGGAAUGUCUCGUAAGCACAAGUCAACAUCUUGUGUUGAUUACGUCCCUGCUCUUUGUACACACCGCCCGUCGCUCCUACCGAUCGAGUGUUUAGGUGAAUUUGAUGGACGUAAGGAAGUCAAAUAAACCUGAGCACUAGAGAAGAGAAGUCGAUCAUG